GGCGUAUGGUGACCAGAUCGGGUAGAGGUAGUUCCGUGUUUUUCCCCUCUUGAUAUAAGAAAGGGAGAAGAUAGAAGGGCGCAACCUGUUACAAGGCAGUUUCUCAAGAUUGUAAGAGCACACGACU